UACGUAGGGUGCGAGCGUUAAUCGGAAUUACUGGGCGUAAAGUGUGCGCAGGUGGCCGCGCAAGUCGAGUGUGAAAUCCCCCGAGCUUAACUUGGGAAUUGCGCUCGAAACUACGUGGCUAGAGUGUGGCAGAGGGAGGUGGAAUUCCACGUGUAGCGGUGAAAUGCGUAGAGAUGUGGAGGAACACCAAUGGCGAAGGCAGCCUCCUGGGCCAACACUGACACUCAUGCACGAAAGCGUGGGGAGCAAACAGG
rnacentral:rRNA from 1 species